rnacentral:rRNA from 1 species
UACGUAGGGGGCAAGCGUUGUCCGGAUUUAUUGGGCGUAAAGAGCGUGUAGGCGGCCUUACAGGUCAGCUGUGAAAACUCGAGGCUCAACCUCGAGACGUCGGUUGAAACCGUAAGGCUAGAGUCCGGAAGAGGAGAGUGGAAUUCCCCGGUGUAGCGGUGAAAUGCGCAGAUAUCGGGAAGAACACCCGUGGCGAAGGCGGCUCUCUGGGACGGUACUGACGCUGAGACGCGAAAGCGUGGGGAGCGAACAGG